CUGGGGUGGGAGUGGGGGGAUACCCCCAUCACUGAAUCUGGAACCUUAAAGAACAGAAAACUGGAAUUCAGGUGUUCAGAGGCCUUGUGAUGCUAAUACUCCUAAAGGCCUGGCCAGGAUGCUGGCCAGUCUGUGUCCGUAUUCUGUGUUCUGCUUUGUGGCCAUAUCCCAGUAAUGAAGGGUCCGUGUCUGGAUCAACAUCUGGGUCCCACAUGAUGACCAAAUGCCAGGCUCUGCCCGGGGCCGCGCACUACAUCAGGACCCAGUCGUCUGUGUGUUGGGGCUCCCCACCUCCCCGGGCCCCGUCCCCCAUCCUGAUGCCCAG